UCUUGGUCAUUUAGAGGNAGUAAAAGUCGUAACAAGGUCUCCGUUGGUGAACCAGCGGAGGGAUCAUUACCGAGUUUACAACUCCCAAACCCCUGUGAACAUACCUUUAUGUUGCCUCGGCGGAUCAGCCCGCGCCCCGUAAAACGGGACGGCCCGCCGCAGGAACCACAAAACUCUGAUUUUAGUGUAACUUCUGAGUCUAAAAAACAAAUAAAUCAAAACUUUCAACAACGGAUCUCUUGGUUCUGGCAUCGAUGAAGAACGCAGCAAAAUGCGAUAAGUAAUGUGAAUUGCAGAAUUCAGUGAAUCAUCGAAUCUUUGAACGCACAUUGCGCCCGCCAGUAUUCUGGCGGGCAUGCCUGUUCGAGCGUCAUUUCAACCCUCAAGCCCCCGGGUUUGGUGUUGGGGAUCGGGCUGUACUCCAGCCCGGCCCCGAAAUCUAGUGGCGGUCUCGCUGCAGCCUCCAUUGCGUAGUAGCUAACACCUCGCAACUGGAACGCGGCGCGGCCAAGCCGUUAAACCCCCAACUUCUGAAUGUUGACCUCGGAUCAGGUAGGAAUACCCGCUGAACUUAAGCAUAUCAAUAAGCGGAG
rnacentral:rRNA from 1 species